rnacentral:lncRNA from 1 species
GGCAAAGAUGGAACCUUCGUGAGCAUGGGCCUGGGCCACAAUCCCAUAGGUCUCUGUUGGCAAAGUCAC